rfam:Triticum aestivum genome assembly, contig: Triticum_aestivum_CS42_TGACv1_scaffold_392688_5AS
AAAGUACUCCCUCCGUCCCAAAAUUCUUGUCUUAGAUUUGUCUAGAUAAGGUGUAUCAAGACACAUUUUAGUAUUAGAUACAUCCGUAUCUAGACAAAUCUAAGACAAGAAAUUUGGGACAGAGGGAGUAGUUG